AUUGAACGCUGGCGGCGUGCCUAACACAUGCAAGUCGAGCGGCAGCGGGCCCGCAAGGGUGCCGGCGAGCGGCGGACGGGUGAGCAAUACAUAGGAAUCUGCCUUAGAGCGGGGGAUAGCCAGGGGAAACCCGUGAUUAAUACCGCAUGAUGUCGGGAGACCAAAGUGGGGGAGUCGUAAGACCUCACACUCUAAGAUGAGCCUAUGUCGGAUUAGCAGUUGGCGGGGUAACGGGCCCACCAAGGCGACGAUCCGUAGCUGGUCUGAGAGGACGAUCAGCCACACCGGAACUGAGACACGGUCGGACUCCUACGGGAGGCAGCAGUGGGGAAUAUUGGACAAUGGGCGAAAGCCUGAUCCAGCGACGCCGCGUGGGUGAAGAAGGCC
rnacentral:rRNA from 1 species